rnacentral:rRNA from 1 species
UACAGAGGGGCAAGCGUUGUUCGGAAUUACUGGGCGUAAAGGGCGCGUAGGCGGCCUGCUAAGUCGAACGUGAAAUCCCUGGGCUCAACCCAGGAACUGCGUCCGAUACUGGUUGGCUUGAAUUCGGGAGAGGGAUGUGGAAUUCCAGGUGUAGCGGUGAAAUUCGUAGAUAUUGGGAAGAACACCGAUGGCGAAGGCAGCCAUCUGGACCGACACUGACGCUGAGGCGCGAAAGCGUGGGGAGCAAACAGG